CUCGUUGCCCAACCUGACGGUGCUGAGUCUGAGUGGGUGUAGUAAGAUCACGGAUGACGGGGUAGAGCUUAUCGCCGAGAACCUCCGUCGCCUCCGGUCACUGGACUUGUCUUGGUGUCCCCGCAUCACUGACGCCGCCCUCGAGUACAUCGCCUGCGACCUUAACCAGCUGGAGGAACUGACGCUAGACAGAUGUGUGCACAUAACAGACAUCGGUGUGGGGUACAUAUCCACGAUGCUCUCCCUGUCUGCACUCUUCCUCCGCUGGUGUUCACAGGUGCGAGACUUCGGGGUCCAACACCUGUGCUCUAUGAGGAACAUACAAGUGCUCUCUCUCGCAGGUUGCUCGUUGGUGACGUCAGCGGGUUUGUCGUCGUUGGUUCAGCUGCGACACCUUCAGGAGUUGGAGCUGACCAACUGCCCGGGAGCAACCCCAGAGCUCCAUCAUCACCUGCACCUACACCUGCCCAAGUGCCUCAUCAUUGAGUAGCUCCCACACACAAUAUUAGGACUCACCAGCCACCAGACAAAACGGGUCUUAAAAAACACACAGAAAAAUAGGUGCACUUUACCAUGACUCGUCACAAAACAAAACGGGUCUAUUAAUAAAAAAAAUAAUAAAUUGGUGCACUUCCAUGACCCGUCACAAAGGAAAACGGGUUUAAAAAUAAAGUUAACAGUCACUGUGCUACGGCUCGUCACUCGUCACAAAGGAAAACGGGUCCGUAGAUAGUCCAAGUUGUCCUCAAUCGGUGGCCUCAUACUGUUACCUCUCAGAUUAAAUGAGGAGUAUCGCCUGUGUGAGAGGUGACAGGGAGAGGUACACCGAGGCCCUCAAAUACCUUGUGUUAUGUAAGCAGAAAAGGAGAGUAAAUUUUUGCACAGUGUAGUAAUCCAGAUUUAUAGAUAAAUGUGAUAGACUUCAUCACGAAUAUAACAUUGUAUAUACACAUAGUAAAAAACACUGCAUGAUGGUGUGAACAAUAAUGUGUGAAAAAUGUUGAAGAUGUGGAAUAACCUGACAGAGACAGACGAUGUUGAUGUGUACAUACAAGAACUGUAGCGUUUUGCUUCAGAGAAAAAUGCAUGAACCACUCAAAUCUAAAAAAGGAAAUAUUCCAUUUUAUGUGCUCAUUACUAUUAUUUUAUUGUAUGAAGCAUGUGGGUGUGAUGUGUCACGUGGAGGCUGCAGCCAAUAAGCAGUCCCACACUAUCUUGGCUUUUGAAACGAUCCAGUGAGCAACUACUGUACUUGAUAAUAUGUGUCUUUCAUGUACGUAGUCAAGACAUAAUUCUUCUAGUUCUCAUCCCUAACCUCAAGAAAGUACAAGUGGUCCGAAGAAAGGUGACCAUACUUGCCUCAAGGUUGCAACAGAAACCCAUUAUAUAUAAUACAUAUAUAUAUAUAUAAAACUUUUAUGUGUCCAAAAUCUUCCUGACUCUCAGACCAGCCAGUUAUUAUAAUCUGCCAAGCACUGUGUUUGGUGUUUUGAGACGAGAUGUUUCCUUGGGUGUUCAUCACGUUACAGUUUUAAUACUCCCGUGGAUGUGAUCAACUCUUUUAAGGUGUGAUGAUGAUGCUCUCCUGUUUACUUCACUCAGAUGGGGAUUUUUAAACUGUUCGGUAAUGAGAAGAGUCUGGACCAGUAAUCCACCUUAACAGUUCCAAAGUGUCUUGAUAUGCGCUUGUGUUAAAAGACUUGAGUCCGAUAAGGAAAGAUCUUCACCUUAGAGUUCAAUAAUAUUAGUAUGGUCUUCUAAAAGAAACAAAAAUAACUAAAAGAAAAAAAUGAAAUUGGCAGAUUAAGGUUAUUUGUCUGAUAUGCGGUAUGUAAAUCAAAAUAUUGUAAGUGAAGUUUCAAUUUACAUGUGAUGUGUAAUUAAGGUGUUGUCAAGACUUGUAGGGACGACCUAGUGUACCUGUAUACUAUGAAGAGUUUGCUGCGGAGGCAGAGAGACACUGUGACUAGUCAGUAAUUGUACCUCUCAUGAUCAUACAAAAUUUGAAAGUAGUUUAUAUGUUGCAUGAGUGUCAUAUAAUCUAUAUUAUCAUUCAAAAAAGUUGAAGAAUUUAUGUUUUCAUUCAGGUAAAACAGAGAAGUUAAAGUAAGAUCAAUUUACUGAAGACAAAAAUAACAAUUGAUGCCUGGUGCUAGAUAUGUGAAGGAAGUCCCAGAAGAUGGUCUCAAAUUCUAUACGAUUUCCAAAGUUUAUAUUCAAUGAUUAAAGCUUUAAGAAACAUGUGACGUACAAUUACGAGACUUAGAGAAAAUUUAUGUGUAUUACAAGACAUGAGGCAAAUUUAUUACUUUCUUCAAAAAUUGUCUCACGUUCUCAGUUACUGUAAACACAAAAUUGCAUUACAUUAUGCAUUACAAACUUAACGUUUUUUUCGGUAAGGAAAUUAAUAUUAUCGCGUGCGACUGGAGUUGAAUAUGCCAGUAGUGUGUGUCAAGAUUUCCUACAUCAAAUGUUAGCCUUUGAACAAGCUAAUAUGCUUCGUGUUUUACAAUAAAUUUUGUAUAUAAAUAUGUUUUCUCACAUUUCUGCAAAAUAUAUUAUGCUUUGAGAUAGCUUUAAAUUCAUAUAAAUGAAACCUAUGGGACACGACACUACAGCGUUUUUGUGGAAUUAAGUGUCAUGCACAGACAGUUUUUGCUGUGCUUAAUUAUUUUUUGCAAACAUUCCACAGUGAUGCCAUUCAUAGUGUGGCUACCAGUUAUGAUGUAGCUUUUUAGUCGAUCAAGCUAUUUGUAAUGCAUGUUGCAUUAUUGACCAAUUGUCGCCCAAGGUGACCAUCAGCCAUGGUGUUAAAAACUUGCUUCCGUUGGUGGUCGCCCAGCUAAGACCCCCACAUGUUAACAAAGAAAACGUAUCUUAAUCUGUGUGUAAGACCCGAUACUAAUCAAUAAAACUCUUAUAGUUAUAUAAUACAUAAAAUAUCUAACAUAUUUUGUUUAGGGUCUUUCAUUAAUACAUCAUUACGUGGAAUUUUUAGCCUUUGGGGAAGGCUUUAGUUACGGCACCAACCAAGUAGUCAGCUUUUAAUACAUACGACUGGACAAUGCUGCUGUCUCCCUCCUCCCGAGUUGGUCACACACCUCACCAUCACUGAAUCAUCUCCAUCCAGUUUUCACUUAAAAUGUAUUGCUUACUUAAAUUUCUAAAGAAACGUAAAAUUAUGAGUGAGAAGAGGGAGCCACAGGCUGUCCCAAAAGUGAGGGUGCAUAGUGCGUUGCUUCUAUCACAAAUCCUAACCAGCGGGAGAUUUAAUGGUUUGCGCCACUGAUACAUAACACAGCUAAACCAUUAAAAAAUUAAUGUGUAAAUAUUAUUAACCGAUGAUCUGACUUAUUUGUAACAUUUACAGAGUGUGAUGCAGUGUGGUAGUUUGGGUCCUCCUCGAGUAAGCCACAGCUCAACUCAAGUUCCAUAGAUAUUAGACUUUCUCUCACCAGCAGGCCUGGGAUUAGCUUUAAGAAUUAUACGUAAUCUGUUACUCAUUAGGACAGAUAUAGACAUGGUAGGAAGACUACCUGACUAGGUGGACCACGGUGUGGUGGACGAAAGUAGCAGGAGCUGAUUAUGUAGUCUUACGCCCUUCAUACCUCAGCUCUUAUCAAAACAAAGAAGGAAAAUCUAGUAGCUGGGUGUAGUUUGUAAGGACGUGCACAACGAGGGUGUUUGGCUUUGUCUGGCACUUACAAGAGCUGAGCAUUUGCUUCUAGUAAAUAAUGAUCCCACGUCCUCCUAACCUAAAUUUAAACAUGGUAAUGAAACGUUGAACACUAUAGAGAUUUUUUAUCAGUGACAUUGAAAUCUUAAGAUCAUUUGGAGUUUAUUUUAUCAAACUUAUCAUGCAAUUUUGCUUAUUUCUGUUUCCCCAUUUUGCACUGAAUGAAACCAUGGUAUGUGAGAGCAGUUUUAUUACUGUACUGAUUCCAGUUGAGCAAAAAAACAUGAUAAUAGUGAAGUUGAGACUCGUGUCACUGAGGGUACAAUCUAAAUUGAGAACGAUGCCAGUCUGAUGGUACUCCCGACCUUUGGAUAAAUGUCACUCGAAAAUUCCUUUUUCCCUUUAAACUUUUGUCUGUAUCCUGAGUAGAAUAACACAGCCUCUGAAUCAUUCCCAUACUUUUAAAUGACUGAUAAUAUCCCCCACCCCAAAAUAAAUUCUUGUUCACUCGAGCACUUUAAUCAUCUCACUUAAUCAUACAUUACUUUAAAAGUCUGUUAUUUCUUAAUAUAAACAAAUGACAAGCGCUUACUUGGUGUGAUGACUGAACCUGCCAGUGCUUCAAAGGUCGGAGGAGAUAUUGUUAACUUCAUUUUUGUUCCUUGGCCUCAUCUUUCGUUCUUUGUAUUUUUUUUGUCUUCUUUGACAUAUCCAUUUACUCCUCGACUACUCCCUGUUAUCCUUGACUUCUCCCUUUGCUCCUCAACUACUCCCUGAUAUCCUUGACUUCUCCCUUUGCUCCUCAACUACUCCCUGUUAUCCUUGACUUCUCCCUUUGCUCCUCAACUACUCCCUGUUAUCCUUGACUUCUCCCUUUGCUCCUCAACUACUCCCUGUUAUCCUUGACUUCUCCCUUUGCUCCUCAACUACUCCUUGUCUUCCUUGACUUCUCCCUUUGUUCCUCGACUACUCCCUGUUAUCCUUGACUUCUCCCUUUGCUCCUCGACUACUCCCUGUUAUCCUUGACUUCUCCCUUUGCUCCUCAACUACUCCUUGUCUUCCUUGACUUCUCCCUUUGUUCCUCGACUACUACCUGUUAUCCUUGACUUCUCCCUUUGCUCCUCGACUACUCCCUGUUAUCCUUGACUUCUCCCUUUGCUCCUCAACUACUCCUUGUCUUCCUUGACUUGUCCCUUUGUUCCUCGACUGCUCCCUGUUAUCCUUGACUUCAUCUGUGGCAUCUAUUCUAUACUUACGUGUGGCCAACAUAACAAUCUCUAUGUACAAUCAGACUGGCUCAUCUACUAUAGACCCUAAGACCUUUAAUGGCCGUCUUAGGUAAACAAAGCAUUCAAGACACAAUCAAAAUAAUCUCAUUGGAUGAUUACACUUGAGAGUCAAUUAGUUGGUUUGAUAAUUUCAGUGAAUCGGUGUGAUAAUGUAGUUAGUUACCAGCUAUAGUAGGGAAGCUUAUGACUGGCAUUUCAACUCCAUCUCUUAGAAUAUGAUUACCAUGGCACCGUGUAGUGAAAGGUAUUUCAUAAAAAAAAACCCAGAUUAUCUAUUGACGUACUGUACCUAAUAUCUGCCCUAAAAAACUCAACUUUAUGAUCAAGAAAGUAAGAAUUGUGUUAAGAAACUUGUAUAUGUGUUAAGAAACUUGUAUAUGUGUUCAGAAACUUGAAUCUGUGUUAAAGAGACGUGAUCGCGUGUUAAGUUAAAAAUGAACUCGAGUUAAAAGAGACAUGAUACACUUCUUAAAGGAAACAAAAGAAGAAUGUGUUGAGAGACGUGAACCUGUGUUAUGAUCUGGUGUAUGGGAGGCACUGUAGUGAGGGACAAGCGGUAGAUAAACAAAAAACUGUAUCCCACACUUCCACACACACCUACUGAGACACAUCUGCCAAGAAUAUCACGUCCGAAAGAAGAAACGGAGGGAAGUCUAGAUUAUUUCUUCACGGAAAAUAAAGGAAAAUAGAAAAGUGAAGAUCGCUUUCAUGGCACUUGACGAGAACACUGUAGGUUAAGGCCUCUAGAACAUAGCCAUUGUUUUUGUUGGUUUGCUUUGUUGUCUCAAAUGUAUUGGAAAUAAUGUAAUAAUGUAAAUACUAUUUUGUACCUAUCUUCAUGAGAAAUGUUAGAUACACACACACAUAUAUAUAUAUAAAUAUAUGAUGUAUACAAGAAUAAAAUAUCAUGUUAUGCCUCCAUCAUCGCAGAGAACCCAUUCAUUAACGCUGUCCUUCGCUCUCGCCUUCAUCACUAAUUGUUGGCGACUCGCCAUGACUUGGUAGUCGUGAUAAUUUGAUGGAUUUCUUCUCACAAACAUAUCUCCUGCUUGCUGCGACAUGCGACUCAUUAUUAUUUUGGGGCUUCCUGCCAACAACUGUCAAGGAAAUCCAUCGAUAAACAAAGGCUCGUACUGUCACAACACAGCCCUAAGGAAAAUGUUUCUCUUGUCCGUCGCUGGCCUUAAGUGAGAGUUCAGUCCAUUAAACUCUUACACCAGCAGAGCACCGAGCUUGUUCUUUUCCAGUGCUCAGUAAGUUUUCCAUAUUGGAUAUCAAAAGGUAAAUCGGAACCCAACACUCAUGUCCCAAACACUUCUUCCCUGAGUGUUGUAGCGAGUGGAUGAGGGACGCUCUGUACUGAUCACUGUUGAGCCGUCAGUGUGGUCCAGCCAGGCCACGACGAAGCCAGUUUCACUCUACCAUACAAACAUCUGGUCAACUCUCAUAAUACUAUCCCCAAACUAAGCUAACAGUUCAUGAACUAAGCUAAUGAUUUUUGGUCUAAGCUAGCCGUUUCAAAUGUAAGCUAGCAGUCUCCGGUCUAUGCUAGCAAUCCCAGGUCUAAGCUAACAGUCCCCGGCCUGCGCAGUCUCCGAUCUAAACUGACAGUCCCUGGUCUAAGCUAACAGCAUCCCGGUCUAAACUUACUGCUCCUAACUCAGACGCAUCAUUCCUGACCUAAACUACCUACCCCCUGAUAAUACUUCAACUUUCUCGAGCUAAAGUAAUAGUUGCCGAAGUGAGACACACCGUUCGUGAAGUAAGGAAGAUCUCGCUGGUGGUAGUGACCGGGUUCAUCCGGAGGACACUGGCAAGUUAGUGCGUUACUUCCCUCCCCAACACCUGGAGGUCACCUUCUUCGACUCAAGAUCAAAACCCACCUGGUGUGUGUGUGUGUCACCUGAGCACCAAUUUAUUCAUUUGUAUCAUCUCGUCUCUUAUAUUCAUAGUGUUAUUUGUGAUAUAUUGUGGUUUGCAUGGUGUUUGUCGGAUUUUGUAUAUUGUACUUAAAAAAACGGGCAACCGGAUUUUGAGAUUUUGUGUGUAGCUUUUUUUCUGAUGAAUUGUGUGGCUACGAACCCUUGUCUGUGUUCAAAAAAAUAUUAUUGUAUGUUAUUCAGUAUACUUUGCUAUAUAACCCCACUCCUUGAAUAUUUGAAGUCAAUAGAUUAUUACAAGACAGAGUUUUUUCAAGGCAAAAGAGACUGUUCACCUGCUGUUGACCCGUUGUUAUAAACAGAUGUCUGACUUACGACACUGUUGAGGGAGAACACAUCCUCUUGAUACAGGCAUAAGCAUUCAUAUCCUGGAGACUUGCUUAUACCCGGACCACGAACCUAACCUAACCUAUUCAAACCUAACCUCGUCUAACCUUACUCUACUCUAACUAACUUGCCCCCUCCUCCACCUAAACUAUGCUAACCUAACCUAACCUAACUCACGGUUUUAGUAUGAAGCUUCAGGCCCGAUUCCUGUUCUUGGUCCGGGGGUUAGUCUUGCUGUCAGGUAUGCUAUGACAUGAUCGAUGAUUGCCCAGUAUACGAGGAACUGUUCCAUGAUUAUGUAUUGUGUCAUUCUGUUUAACGAGUUCAUAAAGGUUCGUAUGAAUUUAAUAUCCUCGUAACUGUUAAUAUAAAACGUUUCAUAUUGUUGGACUUCAUUUAAAACGCUUUGGUAAUGGUUAAGUGCCAUAAUUACGGAGAUUUUCUUUGGAAUAAUUUCUGUGCCUUAAUCUUAUCUCCUGUCAGUGGCUACGUUAAGGUUAAGUGCCGGUAUGUGUUACUUUUGUGUAUUAGAUUAAGUCACUGUUAGGUGAAUUCUUGAAUCUUAAAUUACGAGCAAGAUUAAUCAUGCGAUUCUCUAUGAAUCCAGACCUGGUAAUACAGUUGUUUUGAAGAGAAAUGUCACAAUUACUUAUAUUUAAUUUAUGAAUAGUUUGGAUAAAGGUGUCAGUCCUGUGAGUUCAGAUCUUCAUAAUGUGUAUGGAAUAUAUUUUUGCUAAACUGUUCAUUACUUGUGUAGUUUAACUUGUAUAUGACGCAUUACUACUUUUGUGUUUCCUCAAAGCAAUAUGUAGAGAUACCUGAGUUACCCCAAUACUCUACCGCACGAAAGUCACAAAAAUGUGAUCCAGCCACCUUUGUUUAUUGUGUGGUAAAGCAAUAGCUUUCAAAAUACAGAGGUUUGUGGCGAAACUCAUAUAAUUUAUUCAUAUACAGUAAUGCAGGCAGGAGUAACAAAACUAUAAGAACUAGUAAUAAGAAUUUAACAAUGUAUGAAACAAGAGCAUGUAAAUAUAGUUAAGCCAAGCAGGUGAGACGACUACCAUGAGAGGUGUAUUGCAAGAACCUAUGUGACGGUGACCAUCUCGUGUGGGGGUACUUGAGCAAUAGGCUAUCUCUCGCCCCUAUUUACACCCUCAACAUUUCAUAUUUACAUAUAUAUAAAUACUGUAACCACUAUCUUCUGUGCCAUCAAAAAUUAUUUCAUAAAUCAUGACGCAUAUCGUUGUACAUGAGGAGUUAUGGUAUUAGUGAAUGUGGUAUUGACAUAAACGUAAGCGUCUAUGUUGCUGUAUGUUUGUGUGUAUGUGUGUGUGUAUAAGUGUGUUGUGUCAGGUUGUGAUCAUAACAAAAUCUUUAAAAAAGAAUAAUCGUCGACCAUUAAUUCAUUCUUCAGCUUCAUUCAUAACUAUUCUUUUGUGUCAGAUUUAUUCCUUUCUGGAUUAUAAAGGUUCCUUUCAUAGAUGUACACAAAUAUGGACGACUGCUAAUGACAAAUGUAAACAAACGCGACCAUUCAGUUAUGGCUAAUGUUACCACCCAUAUUGACCUGAUUAUUAUUGUCAUCAGGUGUAGACAUCUUGUUGAUAACCCACGACACUCAUCACGCUGGACAUAGUGUGUCUGUGUGUGUGUCAGCUGAGGCGAGACAUUUGUAGGGGUACUCGCUAAUCCCUGGACCCGAAAGCGGAACCUAAUCAGAUCUAAUCUCUCCCACCUUUACCUAUCCCUAAUAACCCACCUUAAUCUUCUCCUUAUCAAGCUUACAAUAACCUAACUUAACCUAACAUGACCAUUUUAAUUUAAUCCUAAUAUAAACUAUGCUAUGUUACUGUAUAUCUAACCUUAAUCCGACGUUAUGAAACCUAAACUACCCCUAACUUAACAUAACCAAACCUAAGUGCCAUAAUCUAUCCUAUUUCUAGCUAAAUUAAGAUUUACCUAAUCUACUCGUAAUUUAACCUCAUCCACCCCAAACUUAACCCACCUCAAACCCAACUUACCCGUAAAUUUAACCCCACCCACCCCUAACGUAACCUUAACUUAACCCCACCCACACCUAACAUAACCUUAAUUUGACCCUACCCAUCCCUAACUUAACUCAAUUCGUGUUUUAAUAGGAAUAUUUAGACCGGUUCCGGGUUCGGGUGUUAGUACUGAGUCACUCGUAUAUCGUCAGUAACAUUCACCAGCAUAUCUCUGCCACAUAGGUAGAACAUACUGGGCAAUGUUGUACACGAUACCAUGGUAGUGGAUCAGGCUUUGUAUGGGAAUGGUAUAGGCUGAACAAUACCAUGGUAGUGGAUCAGGCUUUCCAUGAUAGUGAAUCACAUAUACCAUGGUAAUAAUACAACCAUGGACAACAAUAUAUCGAAUAGGACCUUAAGACACAAUACCACCAGCAGCGGUACAGUACCUCUCAGGUUGGUAUGGUACACUAACGAGUCAGGUAUACGAUAAGCCACAUGGUACUCUUCAUUAGUACCUUAGGUGGCUCCCAUGACCCUACCAUACAACCCUAUGUAGAGGAAAUAGGAGGAGGAGGAGCCAUCAGGACCAUCACACAUUCACUUCUUGGUUUUGUCGCCUCGAGAUGUAAACUAAUCAGUCAAAUUAUCUUAACUAUAGUGGAUUUGGGGUUAAUGCCAUGUAGCCGCCUCUGGGUUACGUGUUUGAUCCAGCCAUACGUCCUCUUUUGUCUUUACAUCUGAGAGCUGAUAAGGAUUUGCUUUACAAUCGAAAGGUGAUCACAUGAACGGCGGAUACAAAGAUGUGAGUGUGUCUGUCUUGUCCAGCUCUUCCUCCUCCCCACACACCCACCGCUGGCCAACACAUGAAGGAACGAACACAACACAACAUGCUGAAGUGGAACCGCCGUAAGGUUGUUCGACUUUCUUAAACCCAACUGAUGAUACAUAGUCAACUUUCUUUUCCUCUGACAGACAUUUUUCAUCUGAAAUUACAAUGUAGAGAAUAUUAGUAAAAUAAAAAUAAGAACCUGAA
rnacentral:lncRNA from 1 species